rnacentral:rRNA from 1 species
AAGGUUCGUCCGCUGAGGGUUAGUCGGGACCUAAGCCGAGGCCGAAAGGCGUAGGCGAUGGACAAUCGGUUGAUAUUCCGAUACCACUACUGAUCGUUAUUAUCGAUGGUGUGACGGAGAAGGAUAGAGUGUGCUAGCUAUUGGAUGCUAGUCUAAGCGUUUAGGGAGUUAGGAAAGGCAAAUCCGUCCUAACAAUUCUGAGGCGUGAUGGGGAAGGUUCUACGGAACCGAAGUACUUGAUUCCAUGCUUCCAAGAAAAGCAUCUAGAGAGAGAUGUAGUGCCCGUACCGCAAACCGACACAGGUAGAUGAGGAGAGAAUCCUAAGGCCGGCGGAAGAAUCACAGUUAAGGAACUAGGCAAAUUGACCCCGUAACUUAGGGAGAAGGGGUGCCUGCGAGAGCAGGCCGCAGAGAAUAGGCCCAAGCAACUGUUUAGCAAAAACACAGGUCUCUGCUAAAGCGAAAGCUGAUGUAUAGGGGCUGACGCCUGCCCGGUGCUGGAAGGUUAAGGGGAACACUUAGCGCAAGCGAAGGUGUGAACUUAAGCCCCAGUAAACGGCGGCCGUAACUAUAACGGUCCUAAGGUAGCGAAAUUCCUUGUCAGGUAAGUUCUGACCCGCACGAAUGGCGUAAUGACUUGGGCACUGUCUCAACUGUGAAUCCGGCGAAGUUGUAGUGCGAGUGAAGAUGCUCGCUACCCGCGAUUGGACGGAAAGACCCCGUAGAGCUUUACUGUAGCUUAGCAUUGAGUUUUGGUAUUGUCUGUACAGGAUAGGUGGGAGACUAGGAAACCAGGGCGUCAGCCUUGGUGGAGUCAACCUUGGGAUACCACCCUGACAGUACUGAAAUUCUAACUGGCGGCCAUGAAUCUGGUCACAGGACAUUGUUAGGUGGGCAGUUUGACUGGGGCGGUCGCCUCCUAAAAAGUAACGGAGGCGCCCAAAGGUUCCCUCAGAACGGUCGGAAAUCGUUCGAAGAGUGCAAAGGCAGAAGGGAGCCUGACUGCGACACCCACAAGUGGAGCAGGGACGAAAGUCGGGCUUAGUGAUCCGGUGGUACCUCGUGGGAGGGCCAUCGCUCAACGGAUAAAAGCUACCUCGGGGAUAACAGGCUGAUCUCCCCCAAGAGUCCACAUCGACGGGGAGGUUUGGCACCUCGAUGUCGGCUCGUCGCAUCCUGGGGCUGAAG